rnacentral:rRNA from 1 species
GACGAACGCUGGCGGCGUGCUUAACACAUGCAAGUCGAACGGAAAGGCCCUGCUUUUGUGGGGUGCUCGAGUGGCAAACGGGUGAGUAACACGUGAGUAACCUGCCCUUGACUUUGGGAUAACUUCAGGAAACUGGGGCUAAUACCGGAUAGGAGCUCCUGCUGCAUGGUGGGGGUUGGAAAGUUUCGGCGGUAUGGGAUGGACUCGCGGCUUACGAGCUUGUUGGUGGGGUAGUGGCUUACCAAGGCUUUGACGGGUAGCCGGCCUUGGAGGGUGGCCGGCGUCCUGAGUCCUGCGGGAGGCCCCAGACGCGUAUGGUAGGCAGUGGGCGGGAGCCUUACCCAGUGGGCGCGCGCCUGUGACGGCGGCCUCGGGUUCGUAAUGACCUCUUUCUGGUUGUAAACCGCUUUCGCCUGUGACGAAGCGUUAGUGACGGUACUGGGUAAAGAAGCACCGGCUAACUACGUG